GGAAGAUGGGGGUGGUGAUGCGGGCGAUCUUGGCCGCCUGGGGGAAGGCGCCGCCGUUAGUCUUGUAGAAGGUGGCGAAGGAGCGGUACCUCUCCAUCUCCGAGUUGUAAUCCACAAGGCUGUUGAGGGCCCCCUCGGGCAGAUGCUCUACCUGAAUAGUUCAGAUAUUUCCAGCAUCUUUUCUGAUGUAGUGCUAUCGAUCAGAAACGCUCACUCGGGAGGCAGUCGUGGGGCUACGUCUAGUUUCCAGACUCCGCCCAACCUACCGAGUGCAAAAACUUCGUCUUCUCCCAACGUCGUGCACUAAAAAGCGGGCUUUAUGUAAACAAAUCCAGAUGAAGGGAGCGUAAAUCUACAGAAGGAACCUCACCCCCGGCUGCACUGGGGACCGGCGGGCGUCUUUCCGUCGGGGAAAAAAAAAAAAAAAAAAGACCCCGAGCCCGCAGGAGCCACCUCUGUGUUUCCACGUCAGGGAAAAACCCAGACUCUGCUGCCUUCAGAGGUCUAGUGGCAAUACAAAGGCUGCCCCGGAAAGCUCUAGGCUAAGCAUCGUCUCGUGGAGGGAUGCGAAGGAUUUGCAUAUAGCAAAAGAAAAAAAAAAACCCUCUCCCGUUUCCAGAAAGGAAAACGUAGCUGCAUAUCCUCGAUAACAACUACUCAAUAAAACUAGUUUUGCCAGCCAUGUGUAUGAAAGCCCCGCAUCUGGUAAGGAAUAAAACGUUAGCGUUCAGCCUUUUAUGCCAGAAGUCAUACGCAUUUUCUUGCCCUGUUCCCCCCAGCGUUAAAGUGGUUUCUCUCCAGAAGAGCUUCUCUCGCUGGCUACCUUUUCUCUCCCCGCGAUCCCCUCUCAGGGUUUAUUGCCACCAGCAGCGAGAAAAUGAUGGUGCCCACCAACCGGGUCAUUAUUGUUUAAUCGAUGCAUCUCCGGAGCAUGAAAAGGGUACCCGAGACGCAGUUAUUGAUUUCCCUCCCCCACUAACUAUCGCUCUCUUUUCUGCGAAUGAAAUAAAUAAAUAGAAAUUGCUAGCCGGGCUUUGCGAUUCUGUCCCUGCUUAAGCUAAAUGUGACCGUACAUGUUCAAUGUU